rnacentral:rRNA from 1 species
GAUGAACGCUGGCGGCGUGCCUAAUACAUGCAAGUCGAGCGAACGGACGAGGAGCUUGCUCCUCUGACGUUAGCGGCGGACGGGUGAGUAACACGUGGAUAACCUACCUAUAAGACUGGGAUAACUUCGGGAAACCGGAGCUAAUACCGGAUAAUAUAUUGAACCGCAUGGUUCAAUAGUGAAAGACGGUUUUGCUGUCACUUAUAGAUGGAUCCGCGCCGCAUUAGCUAGUUGGUAAGGUAACGGCUUACAAAGGCAACGAUGCGUAGCCGACCUGAGAGGGUGAUCGGCCACACUGGAACUGAGACACGGUCCAGACUCCUACGGGAGGCAGCAGUAGGGAAUCUUCCGCAAUGGGCGAAAGCUUGACGGAGCAACGCCGCGUGAGUGAUGAAGGUCUUCGGAUCGUAAAACUCUGUUAUUAGGGAAGAACAAAUGUGUAAGUAACUAUGCACGUCUUGACGGUACCUAAUCAGAAAGCCACGGCUAACUACGUG